rnacentral:rRNA from 1 species
GAUGAACGCUAGCUACAGGCUUAACACAUGCAAGUCGCGGGGUAUCAUGGAGGUUGCUUGCAAUUUCUGAUGGCGACCGGCGCACGGGUGAGUAACGCGUAUCCAACCUUCCCAUUACUACGGCAUACCCCGUUGAAAGGCGGCCUAAUUCCGUAUGCAGUCCGAAGCAGUCAUCUAAUUUGGACGAAAGGUAUAUUCUAUCGGUAAUGGAUGGGGAUGCGUCCGAUUAGCCAGCCGGCGGGGUAACGGCCCACCGGGGCAUUGAUCGGUAGGGGUUCUGAGAGGAAGGUCCCCCACACUGGAACUGAGACACGGUCCAGACUCCUACGGGAGGCAGCAGUGAGGAAUAUUGGUCAAUGGGCGUAAGCCUGAACCAGCCAAGUAGCGUGCAGGAUGACGGCCCUAUGGGUUGUAAACUGCUUUUAUGCGGGGAUAAAGUUGGGGACGUGUCCCUUUUUGCAGGUACCGCAUGAAUAAGGACCGGCUAAUUCCGUGCCAGCAGCCGCGGUAAUACGGAAGGUCCGGGCGUUAUCCGGAUUUAUUGGGUUUAAAGGGAGCGUAGGCAGUUUUUUAAGCGUGCUGUGAAAUGUACCGGCUCAACCGGUGAUGUGCAGCGCGAACUGGGAAUCUUGAGUACGCAGUAAGCAGGCGGAAUUCGUGGUGUAGCGGUGAAAUGCUUAGAUAUCACGAAGAACUCCGAUUGCGUAGGCAGCUUGCUGUAGCGUAACUGACGCUGAAGCUCGAAAGUGCGGGUAUCGAACAGG